UUGCUUUCCCCUCUAAUUGCAUCUAUAGGGCAAGCAACUUCUGCCUUCCCUUUCUUCUUCCAGGUUUUCCAAAGCGUAUGACAAACACUUUCCCUCUGUUGGUGGCUCUUCACUAUGCUAGAAAAUUGAGCAAGUUUUCAAAAGAUUAUGGGUCUCCACUGUUACCAUGAAUAUGAUCCUUGUAUUUCAUGUAACUUUGACUCCCAGGCAAAGGGAAGUGUGAACGCUUCUAAGAUACAACUCUUCUCGAUUGCUACAAGGAAAAAGUGUGAAAAAAUGUGAUGACUAGUUAUACAUCCGAUGACAAGAUAAUUACGAUAAUAACCAUGGUGGCAAUUAUAGAAUAAUAAUGAUGUGUAGACUGAAAUAGGAGUAUCAUCUGACUGACAUUUCCACAAUUAAGAACUUGAAAAAACAGCAGGUAAGAAAGGAAAAUGUGUGUAUCCUAAAGUACAGAAAAUGUUUACAGAAACCUCCCAAGUGACCUU
rnacentral:lncRNA from 1 species